GAUGAACGCUGGCGGCGUGCCUAACACAUGCAAGUCGAACGAACCUGAUCUUCGGAAAAGGUUAGUGGUGCACGGGUGAGUAACACGUAGGUGACCUGCCCUGGAGUGGGGGAUAACUUCUCGAAAGAGAGGCUAAUACCGCAUACGCUCGGCCAUUCAGUUGGUCGAGUAAAGCUCCGGCGCUCCAGGAGGGGCCUGCGUCCGAUUAGCUAGAUGGUAAGGUAAUGGCUCACCAAGGCGAUGAUCGGUAGCUGGUCUGAGAGGACGAUCAGCCACACUGGCACUGAAACACGGGCCAGACUCCUACGGGAGGCAGCAGUGAGGAAUAUUGGUCAAUGGGCGAAAGCCUGAACCAGCAACGCCGCGUGAGGGAUGAAGGCCUUCGGGUCGUAAACCUCUUUUCUGGGAGAAGAGACAAGGACGGUAUCCCAGGAAUAAGUCUCGGCUAACUACGUGCCAGCCGCCGCAGUAAAAC
rnacentral:rRNA from 1 species